CGCGGAUACAAUCUUUCUACAGAGCGAAGUCUGAAUGGGGGCCGGAGGGAGAACGAGGAUGGACAGGACGUCCCAGAAAGCCAUCGGCGGCAGGGCCAUGCCUCGCACCUGACCUGCACAGCAGGUGGCCCAGAGCUCAAGUCAAGCAGCCGCCAGUCCCGAGUCCCGCCCUUUGAGAGGGCGCAGGCCCGGACAACGCUGGCUCAAAUACGUGAUAAACACCGCUCGUCGACUAUACACUCAACAACCAAAAUAAGUCUCUGUAUGGACUGAAAUAGAAAUGCAAGUAUAUUGAGUGCUGAAAAUAAAGCAAGAUGUUUCUGUUGGAGUGGAUCAAUGGAAGGAAGAACUCUCCUUUAAAAGAUCUCUUGAACAUAGAUGGAGGAAUGAUGAGUCGUGUUUAAUUAUUUAAGUAUGGAAUUCACCCAAAAGGGCACUUGAUGCUUCUGGUUUAUUGGGAGAUACUGGAUGUGAAAGACAGCAAAAUCCCGGAUGAAAAGAAAGAAGAAGAGAGAAGAGACAGAUGGAGGCUUUUUCCGGCAAAGGGAACAGCACGUGAAAGCCACAAAGGAUCAACUUGACUUUAUAUCUGAGCCAAAAGUCAUUCAGAGUGAGGAACUGGAAAGGCCAGAUGAAGAAAAGUGUGUGGAAAGUAAACAAUGCAGUGAUCGGAGGCGUGUGUGCACUUUCCUUGGACUUUAGAUGGAAGAGGGUCAACAUGCACUUUGUUUCCGUCUGUGUGAUUGACUCGCUCUAUGCCAUGCUUGCUAACUGAGACCUUCCUUCAGCUCUUCAGCUGAGCUGUGAGUGGCUUUGAGGGUUGGGAGGUCUCCCACUGAGGGGUCAGGGGUCAGGUCCUGUAUACUUUUUGAAGAGCAGGGGCAUUUGAGCAAAACAAAACUGGAGUUAAUCCCUGCUUUCCUAUUAGAAAAGUUGUGUUCUUUCUCUAUGCCUGUUUCCCCAUCUGUUAAAAAGUGAUAAUGGUAAUACAACUUAGUGAGGCUGUUGUGAAGAAUAAAUAAGAAAUUUGACAUAAAGAGCAAGCUGACAUUUACUAAGUUCUCAAUAAAUGUUGAUAAAUAUCUAAUUGAUCCACUACAACUCACAUAGGCUAGGAGUUUUUGUCUUUGCCUAAACAUUCUCGUGGCUUUUAUGCAAGCUUUUCUUUGUCCUGGUCUCCAAGUGGCAUGCUAACGGCAACUUUUACUGGCUCGCAAGAGCCGAUUAUUAAAUUUUUAGGAAUUUUGAGCUCUGGUUGUUAAAAACUGCCAAUAUUUAAAAAUAGAUGAAAAGAAACAUAUAAUUAAAUAAUUAUAUUUAAAACAAAGUUGAUAAAUACUCAAAACUCAUCACUUCCUAAUUAGUUCACUGGAUUUUACUAUUAUCUAUACUCUUGAGGUUAUUUAUGUCUAUUUUUAUCUGUGUGGUGAAAACAUGUGCCUCGCUUCCAAACUUGUGUUCAGUGACAUCCCUCUUGUGGCUUGAAAAGAGCCAAGUGGCUUGAAAACAGACAUCCCUCUAAGUGGCUUUUGUAGACCAUUGCUCCACAGAAAUACGCGAAUACUAAAUUCAAGAUUUUUCCCAAAGAGCCAAUUAUUAAACACUUAUCAUAAUUUCGUGUUUAUUAAUUCUACACAUGGAAAAAUCGGAUUAAUUUUAUGUGAGAAUGUACAAAAAUUUAUUCUGAUAAGCUUUUUAUGCUGUGCAGGAGCCAACUCUAAAUGAGUCAAAUAAACUACAUAUCCUAGUGUAAUUCCUUCAUGAAUUAAAAAAGUGAAAACAACAAAAUUUCCAUUUUUAGUGAAAAUGAAAUUUCUGUAAAACAUGCCACUUAAUAAACUUCUAAAUGAAUGUGCAUUCAUCAAACAUUUUGAUUUUAACUGGCUAUUUUUGAAGUAUCUGAAAGUUUACCUAUUCUUGAUUUGGGGAAAUUACUGAAAAUCAUAAAAUUAUUAUUUGUCUCCAAGUAUGUAGAGAUAUAGUUUUAAAUAAAAAUAUUAAUAUGUAACUGUGCAUCAAUGCUGCUUUGUUUUUAAAAUAAAAAG
ensembl:lncRNA